UUAUAGCGGUGCAAAAUGUUGUCGAAAAUAAUUUUGGCGCCCAACCAAAACCCUAGAGCAGCAGUCUAGCAGAGCCUUUACCAGUCUCCAAUUCCUUUUCUGCCGGAGCUAAGUAAACAUCAAUUAAAUGGAAAAUAUGUCAGGCUUGAGGUUCUUCGUUGAAAGAACCGGUGACGGCGCCGGGCAGCCGGUCCUCGACGCCGACAACGGCGAGGAACUCAUGCACGUUCAGCCUGGAACCGCCAUCGUCCUCGGCAGCCGCCAGCCUGAGUCCCCUGGCACUCUCUACAUCACCACUAAGCAAGUGGUGUGGCUAAGCGAUACAGAUAGGAGUAAAGGUUAUGCAGUUGAUUUCUUGUCGGUUUCACUGCAUGCUGUGUCUAGGGACCCCGAGGCGUAUCAGGAUCCUUGUUUAUACGCUCAGAUUGACAAUGGAUUGGAGGAUGAUGAAUCAGAAGGCUCCACUGAUGGGGGUGAUGAGUCAUCAGAUUUAUCAAGGAUCACGGAGUUGAGACUUGUGCCAUCGGAUCCUGAUCAAUUGGAUACUCUCUUCCAGAUCUUUUGUGAAUGUGCUGAGCUUAAUCCUGAACCAAUUGAAGGGGAGGAAGAAGAGCAUAAUUGGAUCUUCAGUGCAGAUCAGCUGGAAAAUCAGGAAGCUGAGGAAGAAUCUGAAUGGACGUUUUCUCAGAAUCUGACACAUUCUAUUGGUCAUUCAAAUGGAGAUCACGACUUAGCUCAUACUGUGCUUCAGGUUGUUGGGUUUGGGUGGCAUGGGAGAUGAACAAAUUAAAUACUUAGUUUCUAGAGUGACAGGCAGAGUCUCGCUAUAUAUUUGGCAGGCACUGUCAAGGGAGCUCCUCUUGGCUGAUUGUCUCAACUUCAAAUUAAUGAUCAAAGGUUUGAAGAUGCAGAGGAAAUGGAUAGCGACAGCAAAAAUGGUCAUCACUAAGGCGUCACCAUUCUGAAUCAGAUUAUUUUCUUGAUCUUGGGUAUCAUUAUCUCACAACGAACUUUUGAUGUAUACUAAGUGUGUCAACCUGGUCCUGUUUCUCACAUUUCCGAUGUUCUUGCGGAAAUGUUGAUUCAAAUUUUUAGAUCUUUUGCCCAAAAAGAUUACAUGAUAUUCAGGAAUUAAUAGUUAUUGCAUAUCAGAACCUGUGAGUAGUGCGAGCCAAGACCACAUAGCUUAAGUUGAAGGCAGUUUUUGUUGGGUUUUUCCCUGUCUUGUGCCCUUCGUUCGAAUUUUUAGCUCAGUUAUGGUGAUGACCUUAAAACUUCCAGGGAUAUCUGUGUGUACACUUCAAUCUAGUUACUCAUUAUCUCGCCCAAAUAAGCAGGGUAAAUGGAAAGCACAACUUUCUGGCCCUCUAGCUCUCCCUCUUCAAGUGCCUGACAUUGUUACACUCAAGAUUCUCUCAAGUUCUUCCGGUUGUUUCGUGUUUGAGCUUCAAAAAAUGUACACGUUGAAAAUUAUUCCUCAUCAAUAAAAUACAUGAACCUUUAAGAA